ACAGUACAAACUGAGCAGGCGAUGCCUUUCGGAAUCGAAAAUAUUUAUUCGAAGGCAUGGGGCCGGGCCGCAGGAAGUGGCAGCGGAUAUGGAAUGUGACUUUGCUUUCAGACAUAUCUGCGGGACAGU
rnacentral:ncRNA from 1 species